rnacentral:rRNA from 1 species
UACGUAGGGUGCAAGCGUUGUCCGGAAUUAUUGGGCGUAAAGAGCGCGUAGGCGGUCCGAUAAGUCGGCUGUGAAAGUCAGGGGCUCAACCCUUGAAAGCCGGCCGAUACUGUCGGACUAGAGUCCGGAAGAGGCAAGUGGAAUUCCCGGUGUAGCGGUGAAAUGCGCAGAUAUCGGGAGGAACACCAAUGGCGAAGGCAGCUUGCUGGGACGGUACUGACGCUGAGGCGCGAAAGCGUGGGGAGCAAACAGGG